GGGCCCGCACAAGCGGUGGAGCAUGUGGUUUAAUUCGAUGAUACGCGAGGAACCUUACCAGGGCUUAAAUGUAGAACGACCGAUUUGGAAACAAGUCUUCUCUUUGAGCGGUCUACAAGGUGCUGCAUGGUUGUCGUCAGCUCGUGCCGUGAGGUGUCGGGUUAAGUCCCUUAACGAGCGCAACCCCUAUCUCUAGUUGCCAGCGGAUAAUGCCGGGGACUCUAGAGAAACUGCCCGUGCAAACGGUGAGGAAGGUGGGGAUGACGUCAAAUCAUCACGGCCCUUACGUCCUGGGCUACACACGUGCUACAAUGGUCGGUACAGAGGGCUGCAAUACCGCAAGGUGGAGCGAAUCCCAAAAAGCCGGUCUCAGUUCGGAUUGAGGUCUGCAACUCGACCUCAUG
rnacentral:rRNA from 1 species